GAACGUUUUGGAAUACGGAACACAAGAAGACUUCCUCAGGCACUGCCUGUCUGGACCACAGUGUAGGACGCGCGAAUCUGCAGCUAGGGGGAUUCUGUGAUCACAAAGAACCCGGUGCUCAGAUUGCCUGUAUCUGGAGGGAACUCACCUGAAGGAAAAGCAACCGUGCUUUCCACAGACUCCAAAUCAUCCUCACGCUCGCCGAAAGCAGGGCGACUUUCCCCAUAGAAACAGAAGGCCCAGAGCAGGUGGCACAGCCUGAGGGGGACUGAGGCCUGCAAAGUGACUCAGAAAAAGAACUGGUGUGAACCCUGCUAGAUCUGUAGCGCUGGUGGUGCGGGGGGGGAAACGGGAGAGGAGGAAAGAUGUGGUGAGUGGAAGAAGAGGAAACCCUUCCUGGAACAGAUCCCCAGGGUACAAGCCCAGCUGCCUGCGGUUUGCCCGCCCGUGGAAUCAGAUCAAUUGCUUCACCGCCGGCUUCCCUCUCCCUCCCCCUCCUCUCUGAGGAUUGAACCCACAGGGCUCUGCAUUUCUCUUCUUAAGAAGUAGAAAAUCUCAGCUCUUUCAGGAUCAAUCAUGGAGCUUUCCAAGGGCAUAUUUUUCAGCACUGAGGGAAGUCGUCCCAGAGUAUUUCAUUUCCAGGUUCUGGAUUCUCGAGAUGAGAGGGAGGCAUUUCCAUUAUCUCUGUUGGGCUCCUCAAGAGAGUUGCAUGUUCUGAUGCUUGAAGGUGACGUAACCAGCUUCUGGUGACACUCAGGCCUGGCACUGCCAACCGUGUGAACUACAGCCUUCUCCUUAUUAACCACGAUCAUCACUGACUGCUCAAGGAAGAGCCUGGGGUUUGACUCCCCAAGGGGACACUGUGACUACCAGCACAGAGCUGCCUGCCCAGCUGGGCUGCUGACUGAUGGGAAGAGGGGGCUGCAGCCUGGGAAGGUCAAGGGGGAGAAAAAGCCCAGCUCUCACCUGGAUGGACACAGGCUUUCUGUCAGGCCUCCUACUUUGCAUGUUUUUCCUCUUUCCCUGCACGGUUAGGACUCCAGCAGGAGACUGAAAGAAGAACUGGCAGGGAUCGAACUCAGGACCUUGCACUUGCAAGGCAGACAACAGCACCACUGAGCUACACAACAUUCAUAUUUUGUCAGACACGACUGUGGACUGGUCUUUCUUUUGCCUACAUCAGGAAUGGUAGCAGAAUGGCCUUAUGUGAUAUUGAUGUUCUGUGAAAUCAUCUAUGGUCCAUCAAGUUUCAGGCCAGCUUUUAGAUUUCAGCAACUGCAUUUUUCUCAAUAGUUUCUCCUGAAAUUUUUAGGGGGUUUGUACAUAUUAAGCAUAUUUACUUUUUCCCCACAGUGCUGCCAGCAUUUGUUAUUGGUUGAUUUCUUGAGAGCACCCAUUCUUUCUG
rnacentral:lncRNA from 1 species